AUUGAACGCUGGCGGCAUGCCUUACACAUGCAAGUCGAACGGCCGCACGGGUGCUUGCCCCUGGUGGCGAGUGGCGAACGGGUGAGUAAUACAUCGGAACAUGUCCUGUAGUGGGGGAUAGCCCGGCGAAAGCCGGAUUAAUACCGCAUACGAUCUACGGAUGAAAGCGGGGGACCUUCGGGCCUCGCGCUAUAGGGUUGGCCGAUGGCUGAUUAGCUAGUUGGUGGGGUAAAGGCCUACCAAGGCGACGAUCAGUAGCUGGUCUGAGAGGACGACCAGCCACACUGGGACUGAGACACGGCCCAGACUCCUACGGGAGGCAGCAGUAGGGAAUUUUGGACAAUGGGCGAAAGCCUGAUCCAGCAAUGCCGCGUGUGUGAAGAAGGCCUUCGGGUUGUAAAGCACUUUUGUCCGGAAAGAAAUCCUUGGCCCUAAUACGGUCGGGGGAUGACGGUACCGGAAGAAUAAGCACCGGCUAACUACGUG
rnacentral:rRNA from 1 species